rnacentral:rRNA from 1 species
UACGUAGGGUGCAAGCGUUGUCCGGAAUUAUUGGGCGUAAAGAGCUCGUAGGCGGUUUGUUGCGUCGGCUGUGAAAUCCCGAGGCUCAACCUCGGGUCUGCAGUCGAUACGAGCAAACUAGAGUGUUGCAGGGGAGACUGGAAUUCCUGGUGUAGCGGUGAAAUGCGCAGAUAUCAGGGAGGGAACACCGGUGGGCCGAAGGCGGGUCUCUGGGCCGUAACUGAACGCU